AUCCGAGUGCAGGGGCUUUACGCGCAUCAGUGAGGAUACGUCCGAGAUCGUGUUAUUGCUGUUUGAAAACUACUUCUGACCAGCUCCUGGUUGGCUUCGUCCCGGCCAGGGAAUUUUUGGAACAUCCGAGUGGAU
rnacentral:snRNA from 1 species